CUACGGGGAAGCAGCAGUAGGGAAUCUUCCGCAAUGGACGAAAGUCUGACGGAGCAACGCCGCGUGAGUGAUGAAGGUUUUCGGAUCGUAAAGCUCUGUUGUUAGGGAAGAACAAGUACCGUUCGAAUAGGGCGGUACCUUGACGGUACCUAACCAGAAAGCCACGGCUAACUACGUGCCAGCAGCCGCGGUAAUACGUAGGUGGCAAGCGUUGUCCGGAAUUAUUGGGCGUAAAGGGCUCGCAGGCGGUUUCUUAAGUCUGAUGUGAAAGCCCCCGGCUCAACCGGGGAGGGUCAUUGGAAACUGGGGAACUUGAGUGCAGAAGAGGAGAGUGGAAUUCCACGUGUAGCGGUGAAAUGCGUAGAGAUGUGGAGGAACACCAGUGGCGAAGGCGACUCUCUGGUCUGUAACUGACGCUGAGGAGCGAAAGCGUGGGGAGCGAACAGGAUUAGAUACCCUGGGGUAG
rnacentral:rRNA from 1 species